UCAUUUUUUUCAUUUUGACAUUAUUACAAAUUUUCAGUUACUGUAAUUUUUUGUAUUUUUAAUUGUUCAUUAUUAAUCCGGCUUUUUUUGAAUACGCUUUCACUGGAGCUUUAAAUGUUUUACUGGACACAUCUAAUAUAUUUGUUGUAUAUUUAAAAGCUAUUUUACAUUUAUUUGGAAGCUUUCGCCUCUUAAAUUAAUUUUUUAUAUUUUAGUUUAUUUUCUGAGAUUUAAAUGUUGAACAAGUAUUUGAGAUUUUACUUGAGUUCGCUCUAUGGGGAAACAUUAGAAGCUUUUUCAAAAUGUUCUUUGUUCUUAUUUUUAUUUAAUUUAAUAGAUGCAAUAUGUUUAAAUUAUUUAAAAGUACAGCUUUUUGAAUUGAUUCUGUGUUUUAGUUUCUAUAACUUAAUUGAACUGAAAGGAAAAGAAUCUCAAAUAGCAUUCUGCAUCUUGACUGGCCUAAGUAGACUGGUAUACUGGAAAAUACAGAAAAUUCAUUGAAAAUAGUAAAAAUAGGCUUUUCCCUGUCCUCUAAAACCUUUGACAAGCAAUAUAUAAAAUCUUCAAUAUUUUUACUUAAUAUGUUGCCAUCUUUCCUCCCCCAAAGUAUAAUUGAGUUAAUAAUUUCAGACAGUUUCUUCUAAUGUCAAUAAAAUUGGCAACUUUUUAUAUGAGCCAGCUGUGAAUGUCUGUGUAAUUACAUGAUCACUUCAAUGAAGCAACUUCUACCUCAAUAGACUUCCUAUCAAUAAAAUAAGAACAGAAUACUGUUGAGAACCUUUCUUUGAACAAACUAUGAAACAACCGAAUUUCAUUUUAGAAUGUUGAAAAGUUAUUUUGUUAGUUUUGUGUUGACAUCAGUUUUAUUAAUUUCUAUAGAAACACGAUGUUUCUAUAAUGAUGUUUUAUGGUAUAUACAAUUUGUCCCAUUUUAUGUAUAGGUUGCCUGAUAAGUUAUGCAAAAUAAAUUGAAAGAUAAUUUUUUGCAAGCCAUUACAAUUAGAAUUUCAGAAAAUAAAACUUAAAUAUUAAAUCAUUGCACAUACUUAAUUUGACAUUUCAAUAAAAUGGUAAAUUAGUAACAUGUAUUAAAUUUUAAAAUGUUAUGGCAUGAAAUUAUUCUUUAACAAAAGCAAAAAAAACUUUUGGUAUUUACCAGUUUAUCAAAAUGUUUUUGUUUUUAUUUCUAAGGGUGGAGAGAGGUGUUGGGAGUUAAGUGAUACACAUUUUUCAUGGAACAUAGUUUUAGUGAGGAACAAUAUAGGCUUUGUAGCACUCCAAUUAUGGCCACUAUAUUGGCUGGCUUAUAUUGAGUAGUUUUGGUUAAACAAUCAAGUCUACAAGGGGGAAAGCAUAAUAGAAUGAGCAAAGUUAUUUGUAGUUCCUGAUGUAAUAACUCUUCUAAUACUACAGAAUUAAAAUUCUGAUGAUUCUCAGAUUGCUUCAGGCACUUAUUCAGCCAGUUUCCUUAAUAUUCUUGUGGAGCUGCUUGUUAUGGAAAUUGUAUGUUUCUGCAAAUUAUUUAAUUCUGCAAGUAACAUUUAUCGGUGCGUAAAGAUGAUUCUGAUUGCUAGUUUCCUUGCAUUAAGAUGUGUUUGCUACAAUAACACUAUCUGUUCAUGUUGGUAAUUAAUAAUGCUGUAAUACAACAAAUUCUAAUUGUAUGGAAUGCAAUUAUAUAUUAUACAUAGCUAUAAUUAUACGUUGUACAUGUUAAAUGGUUCAUGUUGCCAGUUAAGUCAGCAUGUGUUAUGGGACACUUUGUAUUAUAUCUUGUUUCUAAGCCUUCAUCAUUCAUGAAUGCUAGAAUUAUGCCAUGUUUCGAUUACUUUUGUAUAUUUAGAAUUGCAUGUUUCUUUUUUUUUCUUUUUUUUUUUUAUAAAAAAAGUGAAAAAGCAGUUAUGAUCUCUCAACAUUAUCUAGUUUAACCUUUAUAAUAGUGAAAAAGUAUAUCUGCUUAAUACCUUUAGCUAGAAUAUACCUUUUAGAGAGUUUUAUUGGAAUAGGUAUUCAAUGGUUUCCAUAUUCUUAUUUCACUCAAAAAUGGAAUAGAAAUAUAAUUGCAAAAAGAAAUGGCAUGUUAGGCAAAAGCAGGCAGUGAGAAAUACAAUUAAAGAGUUGAAUAGAAAAAAAAAAUCAUCAAAUAAAAUUGAAAUAUUUUAAGAAUAAGUUUAAAAACUUAUUUUCUUUUCCUUAAUAACUGUAAAGUUUUGCUACCAGCUGUUGAUUCCUUGUUAAUUGUGUACACUUCACUAUUUUGCCAAUUGUCUCAGCAAUAGAAUUACUCAUUUACAAAGUUUAGAUUUUUAAUAUAUCUGCUUAUGGUUUGAUAAUUUAGUAGAUGUAAGUCAGGUUGGUCAGGUGACACAGGAUACUUAUUUGAUAUUUUAUUUAUGCUGUUGCUGAAUCGAAGGCAGCAAAUUGGCAGAAUCAUAAGAGCAUCAGUUAGGAUGCCUUGUGCUAGUUGUUGCACCUCUUUAUGGUCUGAAUUUAAAUCCUGCCAAACUGAAUUUUACCUUCAUUGUAUUUAUUUCUUUUGUGGUUGAGAAAAUACCAAUCCAGUAUUGGGGUCAUUUCUCUCUUUCUCUAUGGAUAUUACCUGUAUUCUAAGAUCCAACCUUUUGUCCUGCUGAUUUGGCCUGAGAAUCGCAUUAAGGGUACAUGUAUCUGUUGAAUAUUCAGCCACUUAUGUGUAAAUUUCACUAUAGGAAUUCAGUUGGUCUAACAACUGACUGCUCAUCUUCAAGAUUGGUGGAGAAUUCACCAUUAUUGAAUUGUCUGAAUUUAGGUAAUUUUAUGUCAAUAGUAAUUAACAUUUAAAGUCUGAAAGUCCAUUAGUCUUUUCUUUUUUUUUAUGAAGUAUUUUUAUUAUUCUAUUCUAUCUAUUUGAAUUCAAGUAGUUAUUGUAUAUCAAACACUGUAUAUUGUUGAAGAAAUUACAUAUUUUAGUAAUGACAUUUUCUUACUUCAUUAGAAGUUUAAAGUUUUCCUUUAAUAUCAAUCAAUGCAGUUGGAUUUUAAGUCUAGCAGCAACAAUAUCUGUAGAGUUACUGUUUGGUUUGUAGAUAUAAAAAGAUGACUACUUUAAUGUUCUAAUUAGUAUGAAUGCUGGUGGAAAUAUUGAUGAUCUUCUAAAACUGUUUUUAGGCAAGUGCCUUUUUUUGAAACCACGUGUGGAAACUGAAGCAAUUACAUUGCAGAAGAGCCAGUUUAACCAUCUAAAACACGUGCAAGAAAAGAGUUAUAUUCACAUUUCAUUUAUUUCACGAAGUGUUGUACCUCUGUGAUCUGGUUACCAACACAAUUUCAUUGCAAUGGAACUGUGCCAUUGACCAAAUAGCAGUAAUAAAAUAAAAAAAAGUUUGGAUAGCUCAUGAAAUAAACAGGAAGUGACUAUAACUGUCUUUGUGUUUUUAGAUGGCUAAAAUGACUCUUCCUUUACAAGUGUUAAACGAAUGUAUUAAGUGUUUUGCAAACCAUUGUCAGUUAUCUUUCUUUUGUAGUAUUGGAUGCAUAUAUUUUCUUGUACUUAUUCCGUUUAAGCAUUGAUUUUGUAACCCGUCUCAACCUUUUUUAUCAUUGCCCACCUGUCAAUUUUAGGAUUUUUGUUUUGUUGUCAGACAUAGAUACUGAAUUUUUUUUUUUUGGAAUUAGAAACCAAUUAGGGUAAGGGAAUCUACAGUUGAAGUAUAUAUUUAAUAUAUAAAAUAUGUUUCAUUUACAUUUGAAGUUUCAAAAUAUUUUUUGUUUGCAUUUAUAAUUACACUUUAUCCCUUGAAAAAAAAAAAAAAGAAAAAAUUUUCAUUUUCAUAAAGUGAAAUAAUUGAUACUUUCAGGUGCAAACAAAAUAUAUUUAUUUAUACACUCAAAUGGAAAGAAAAUAUUUAUAUGUAAAAAUUAAUGUAACUCUAAAUCCUCUAACUCCACUCAAGAUUCCAAAAUAAUUUUUUUUUUAAUUAAAAGAUUGUUUUUCAGAUUCAAUCUUUAAUGCUUAAACAUAGAAACCCAAAGUGCCCUCCCCCCAAGUAUAAUAAAAAUAUAAGAUAUUAGUGGUGGACAAAAUAAAAAUCCAUGCUUAACAGAAUGAGUACUCAUUUCCUUGUGUAUGACAAUGGCAUGGUUAUAAUAUCUGUUUCAAAAAUGUUCCUUAUUGUAUGCUGUUCUUCAGUUUCAUGACUUUGUUCUUUUGUUGAUUCAAAAAAAAAAAAAAUUUAUUGAGAGCAUUAGUAGUGGCAUUUUGUCAGAUGUGUUGUAAGAUUCUUGUUUUGAUGAUGCAAUUCUUGCAUGUUUGUCACAAAAAUUAUUUGGUGUAUCUUCUAUAAGGAAAAAAAAAAAAUUCUUCCAAGGCUGUUGUAAUUAGCUAUUUAAAAUGCUAACAUAGCAUUUUUUUUUUGUAUUAAUUAGCUAUGUUGAUGUUUUCUCAUUAAGUGAUAGAAUUGUUUCUUUCUUCGAAGCAUCAGUAUCUAUUUCUUUCUUUACCUAUGAAAAUUUGUAAUCCUGGUUGAAUGCUAUCUUAAGUUUUCUUCACUUGGAUUAUAAGGAAAUCGUUUUAUUACCAAAACAUGUUUUUGGCUCGUAAUAGUUCUUCAUAUGACAAAUGAGUCAUACUUUAUUCAAAUGUUCUUCAUAGUAAUUCUAAUAUCUCUGUAAGAUUUCAUUUACAUUAUCUGUCUCUUUCGAGAAAGCUCUUUGCUUACUAUUUUGCACAGCUUCUUAACCUCUUGGCCUCUAUUACUAGUGUAUUCUACUUCAGGCUACAUGCUGAUAGUGCCAAGUGAUGAGAAUAUUUACCGUCUUCAAUACGAAAUUGAUGACAUGCAUCAUUAUGAUGGUUGGUGAUAUCACCAACCAUUAAAGAUCUAAUAAGUUUACUUGAUGGUCAACUGUCAAGUUUCCACUAGUCUACUUUCUCCUCUUCCCCCUCCCCACAUUAAUUUGUGAUACCAUUUGUAAUUUGCUUCUGGUGCACACAUAAUGGUUCCUCACUCAUGAUAAUUUUUUACCAUCUGCAAAUUUUUCCCUUUUUUUCAUCGUCUGCUCUUCUCUCUAGCCAUAUUUUGCUGAGGGUUGUCAAUAUUCGUAGUUUCCUACUUUCAUUUGUUAAGUAACAUAUUUUAGGCAGUGAAAACUAUCUUGUUAGUAUCUAUCUAUUCUAUAGAAACCUGUUAAUUUCAAUAUGAGCAUUCUACAUAUCUAUUUUUUACUCGCAUUUAAAACGUAAAUUUUUUGUUCCUUUGUUAACCACAAUAGUAAAAAAUGUUCAUGUUCUAACUAUUGUACUUUAUUGUGGAAAUGUUCCAGCCUUCAUUUUAAUUAGGUUACUGUAGUUGGUUUGAAUUGUUUCAGUUGAGGUUUUUCAUUUUAAAUACUGUUCUUAUUGAGUUAUUCCUGACUUAGGCAUUGUCAGGAAACUGAACAAAUAAAUUUUUGUCAAAUUUUAGUACUUGAGUUUUAUUGAUGAUGGACUGUUAGCGAUGGACUUUUCAGUUUCAAUGUCUUUGGUGUAUUGCAUGCUUGACCAAAGUACAUUGCUCUAAUUACUUGAGUCAACUUUGAUGAAAAGUAGGUGCCAAUUUCACUUUCUACUUCAACAGUUAACAUUAGAAAAGUUAUCCUGUCACUUUUCCAAUAAAUUAUGAAAGCUAUGGUUUUUAAAAAUUUUUUUUAUGUUUUGCAAUAUUUCCAUGGCAGCAUAAGUGAAAUGAUUAUUACAAUAUUUGCAUAUUGUCAGAUCACACAGUUUUAAAAGUGGGCAUCACUUAAGCUGGUCGCAAUAAUGUAAACAAAUGAAAUCAGACUUUCAAUAGUCCAGCUACUUUAAUAAGCAUUAAAAAAAAAAAAAUUAAAAUACUGUUUGCAUUGACAAUGGUGAUUGAAUCUUUAUAGUCAGUGUUUUAGUAUCAUAGUGUUGGAAUAAAUCUUUUUCAGCUGAGGAAAGUGUGUUAAAAAAAA